GGGGGCGACCGGUUUCGAUUGUGUCGGUGGCUCCGUGGUUGCGCGCCCAGGUCCUCGGGUCCCUGGUGAAACACUCGGGAAAACGUUACCUGCGAACAACAACUUCGCGCUUGCUGCGUAAGGCUUAGGCUUUACCCCAGCAGUGCCAGGGAGGUAGCCCCGCCCGGGGCGGCACCCUGGUAUCGAAAAUCCGGGCUGGCUCUCUGGCGCGCCCUCCGCCCCUGAGCGAGAUCGAGAUGGGAUCAUCCGUGCGACGGCGGCCUGCCGGCCAGCGCCCGGAAACAUCAAUCGGCGGGAUACGCGCGUAGACGCUGCGGAAGAUCUGGUGCAAGACGAGGGUUCGAAUCCCUCCGCCUCCACUC
rnacentral:tmRNA from 1 species